AUUGAACGCUGGCGGCAGGCCUAACACAUGCAAGUCGAGCGGAGCGGCGGACGGGUGAGUAAUGCCUGGGAAUCUGCCUGGUAGUGGGGGAUACCGUCCGGAAACGGGCGCUAAUCCCGCAUCCUAUCAGAGUAGCCUAGGUCGGAUUAGCUAGUUGGUGGGGUACAGGCAUACCAAGGCGACGAUCCGUACCUGGGCUGCGAGGAUGAUCAGUCACACUGGAACUGAGACACGGCCCAGGCUCCUACGGGAGGCAGCAGUGGGGAAUAUUGGACAAUGGGCGAAAGCCUGAUCCAGCCAUGCCGCGUGUGUGAAGAAGGUCUUCGGAUUUUAAAGCACUUUAAGUUGGGAGGCGUUACCAACAGAAUAAGCACCGGCUAACUUCGUGCCAGCAGCCGCGGUAAUUC
rnacentral:rRNA from 1 species